GACGAACGCUGGCGGCGUGCCUAAUACAUGCAAGUUGAGCGCUGAAGGUUGGUACUUGUACCAACUGGAUGAGCAGCGAACGGGUGAGUAACGCGUGGGGAAUCUGCCUUUGAGCGGGGGACAACAUUUGGAAACGAAUGCUAAUACCGCAUAAAAACUUUAAACACAAGUUUUAAGUUUGAAAGAUGCAAUUGCAUCACUCAAAGAUGAUCCCGCGUUGUAUUAGCUAGUUGGUGAGGUAAAGGCUCACCAAGGCGAUGAUGCAUAGCCGACCUGAGAGGGUGAUCGGCCACAUUGGGACUGAGACACGGCCCAAACUCCUACGGGAGGCAGCAGUAGGGAAUCUUCGGCAAUGGACGAAAGUCUGACCGAGCAACGCCGCGUGAGUGAAGAAGGUUUUCGGAUCGUAAAACUCUGUUGGUAGAGAAGAACGUUGGUGAGAGUGGAAAGCUCAUCAAGUGACGGUAACUACCCAGAAAGGGACGGCUAACUACGCG
rnacentral:rRNA from 1 species